AGGGAAGGGAAAGGCUUGGGGUGUGCUCCCAGAGGGAGAGGAUGUUGGAUCCCCAGUCCCAAGGACUUUGAAGGGUGGGGAUUUUAGAGGAGGUCCCAAUGGAGGAUCUUAAUAGAAUAUUCAUCGGCUUUUUAGGUGUGUCUUUUCAGGGUCCUGGUAUCCACCAGGGCAAGGGGGUCAUUAGGCAAUGCAGCUGGUUCUGAUGUCAGCCAUGGUGUCGCUUGUUUGGUUUUGCUGCUUUUCUGAGCCUGGAGCUGAAACACAACUGAGGCCUAGAGGAAAAAAAGUUGCCAGUCUUUGCACCCUCUGUACUAAACUUCUCCAAGCCUUCAUUUCCUCAUCUGUAAAAUGAAGAUAAAAAAUGGCACUGACAUCUUUGAGUUGUGGUGAAAAUUAACUGAGGUACUGGGACAGCCAGGUGCCAACCUUGGCCGUCCGACUGGAGAGCCAUCCGUGUGUGCAGCCGCCCGCGUGGGGACUCCCGCCUACCGAAGGAAUGAGGCCUGUGUGCUGAUAGGGCCAACUCGUGAGGUGGAGAAAAGAGAGGCCUGCUAAGAGCCCUACCUCUGUUCUCUGUUGCCUGUUUUGGUUUUACUUAAUCUGAGUUUGUUUUCUGCCACCAAAGACAGAAAUAUG